rnacentral:rRNA from 1 species
UGGGGAAUAUUGCACAAUGGGCGCAAGCCUGAUGCAGCCAUGCCGCGUGUGUGAAGAAGGCCUUCGGGUUGUAAAGCACUUUCAGCGAGGAGGAAGGUGGUGGACUUAAUACGUUCAUCAAUUGACGUUACUCGCAGAAGAAGCACCGGCUAACUCCGUGCCAGCAGCCGCGGUAAUACGGAGGGUGCAAGCGUUAAUCGGAAUUACUGGGCGUAAAGCGCACGCAGGCGGUUUGUUAAGUCAGAUGUGAAAUCCCCGGGCUCAGCCUGGGAACUGCAUUUGAAACUGGCAAGCUAGAGUCUCGUAGAGGGGGGUAGAAUUCCAGGUGUAGCGGUGAAAUGCGUAGAGAUCUGGAGGAAUACCGGUGGCGAAGGCGGCCCCCUGGACGAAGACUGACGCUCAGGUGCGAAAGCGUGGGGAGCAAAACAGGAUUAGAUACCCUGGUAGUCCACGCUGUAAACGAUGUCGAUUUGGAGGUUGUGCCCUUGAGGCGUGGCUUCCGGAGCUAACGCGUUAAAUCGACCGCCUGGGGAGUACGGCCGCAAGGUUAAAACUCAAAGGAAUUGACGGGGUCAUAGCUGUUUCCUG